AAAUAUUUCUUUUCUCUUUGUAGUUGGGCUUUGCUUAUAAACAGAGCUGGCGCGGAGUCACAUUAAUUUAAUUUUAUCUGUGAUCCACAUCAGCCUAGAAUGCUAUUAAUUUGGAUUUGACUGCCGGCAGAGAACAACAUUCACUAAUAUCCACUUUUUAGAGCAGAGGCAGGUGGAACGCUUGUUUCUGGCACCAGAGCUACAUGCGGGAGGAAAGGAGGGCAGAGGCGCUGUGCUCCUGAACCAGGGUUGGUCCUGUCUGAGGAUCCACGCAGCAGAGCUUUGGGAAGCAGCUGGCACCCUACUGGCUCAGUGCAAGAGAUGUGACCUCUGCUCCCAGGCUUUUCGAUCCAGUCCACUUACCUGCCUUUUUGGUUCAAUGUGAAGCCAUUUCAGCCUGUAAAGGACUAUCCCAAGGCACAUGGACAUUGCCAAUCCAAGUUUCUGUGUUCUUGGCCAUUCAUCUUUGAUAAGAGACACUCUGUCACCAAAUGCCUUCACAAGAAGCAAUCUUGGUAAAUGAAUUAUGCUCUAAUAAAAAUAAUUGAUGGGAAAUAAUACCCGAAUUAGGAGAUCUGAGGAAGAGUUUGAGAGGAAGAAUAAAGUUCUAAUGAUUGCUA
rnacentral:lncRNA from 1 species